AUUCUCAAUCGAUUAGACUUUAAAGAGUUGAAUGAAGAAUAAUACAUUCUUUUAGAGUCUUCCUUCUGUGUUUUUCUGUUUUCUCUACGCUUAUACUUCAAACUCAUAGCGAAGUGACAUCACAAAGGUAUUGAAUGCGUAUUGAAUUAAUAUCAAGGGGUGUGGCUUGGUGAAAUUUUUUACACACUUCAAAGCUACCUGCUGAUCAAGUUGCAGAACAUCAAAAGUACCGAACGCUUCACAAGAAGGAAAAAUACCGUAACAGUUAUCAAAAGAUUAAUGCCUUAUUAAAUUCAAAUCACAGAGUAAAUUUGUUUUAUUUACCUGCGGUAUUGCUCAUUUACUGUGUUCUUACACAGAUGUAAUACCGCCUUUGAUAAAGGAUAUUUUGGUAAGAAGAAAAAAUUGUUAUUGAUUUUUUCUUACUCGUCAGCUUUUUAUCAAAAAAGAGAUAGAAAAAAUAUACCAUGGAGAGCAGCAGUUCGUACGUCAAUGGAAAACAGAGACUCUAUAACGUUAACAUAUUGCCAGCAGGUCAUAUUGCCUUAAAUCUGCUCCUGUCUCCAGCUUUUGUUAUCCAUGCUUGUAUUUUCGUCAUAGUGAGGUUACAACUACGUUAGGCGCUUAUCUUAAAAUCUAAAGCGUUUAAUUUAAUUGUAUGGCUAAAAAUAUUUAAUUGCUGAUAAUGAUAGCCUUGA